rnacentral:rRNA from 1 species
GACGAACGCUGGCGGCGUGCUUAACACAUGCAAGUCGUACGAGAAAAAGGUAGCAAUACCUUGAGUAAAGUGGCGCACGGGUGCGUAACACGUAAGCAACCUGCCUUUAGGUUUGGAAUAAUCCCGCGAAAGCGGGACUAAUACUGGAUGAUGCAGCGGAUCCGCAUGGAUAUGUUGUUAAAGUCUAUAUGGCGCCUAAAGAUGGGCUUGCGUCCGAUUAGCUAGUUGGUAAGGUAACGGCUUACCAAGGCAACGAUCGGUAGCUGGUCUGAGAGGAUGAUCAGCCACACUGGAACUGAGACACGGUCCAGACUCCUACGGGAGGCAGCAGUGAGGAAUAUUGGGCAAUGCCCGAAAGGGCGACCCAGCAACGCCGCGUGGAGGAUGAAUGCCGUAAUGUUGUAAACUCCUGUUAGAGGGGAAGAACAAUUCCGAUCGACUCGGAACUUGACUGUACCCUCAGAGAAAGCCCCGGCUAACUACGUGCCAGCAGCCGAC